GUAGUUGAACCUUGGGCCUGGCUGGCCGGUCCGCCUCACCGCGUGUACUGGUCCGGCCGGGCCUUUCCCUCUGUGGAACCCCAUGCCCUUCACUGGGCGUGGCGGGGAAACAGGACUUUUACUGUGAAAAAAUUAGAGUGCUCCAGGCAGGCCUAUGCUCGAAUACAUUAGCAUGGAAUAAUAGAAUAGGACGUGUGGUUCUAUUUUGUUGGUUUCUAGGACCGCCGUAAUGAUUAAUAGGGACAGUCGGGGGCAUCAGUAUUCAAUUGUCAGAGGUGAAAUUCUUGGAUUUAUUGAAGACUAACUACUGCGAAAGCAUUUGCCAAGGAUGUUUUCAUUAAUCAGGAACGAAAGUUAGGGGAUCGAAGACGAUCAGAUACCGUCGUAGUCUUAACCAUAAACUAUGCCGACUAGGGAUCGGACGGUGUUAUUUUUUGACCCGUUCGGCACCUUACGAGAAAUCAAAGUGCUUGGGCUCCAGGGGGAGUAUGGUCGCAAGGCUGAAACUUAAAGAAAUUGACGGAAGGGCACCACCAGGGGUGGAGCCUGCGGCUUAAUU
rnacentral:rRNA from 1 species